rnacentral:rRNA from 1 species
GUGUCAGCCGCCGCGGUAAUACGUAGGGGGCAAGCGUUGUCCGGAAUUAUUGGGCGUAAAGAGCUCGUAGGCGGCUCAGCAAGUCGGCUGUGAAAUCCCGAGGCUCAACCUCGGAACUGCAGUCGAUACUGCUGUGGCUAGAGUCUGGUAGAGGAGAAUGGAAUUCCCGGUGUAGCGGUGAAAUGCGCAGAUAUCGGGAGGAACACCAGUAGCGAAGGCGGUUCUCUGGGCCAGUACUGACGCUGAGGAGCGAAAGCGUGGGUAGCAAACAGGAUUAGAAACCCCCGUAGUCC